GACGAACGCUGGCGGCGUGCCUAAUACAUGCAAGUCGAGCGAAGAGGCUCGGCGCUUGCACCAAUUUCAAGAGCAGCGAACGGGUGAGUAACGCGUGGGAAAUCUGCCUUUCAGCGGGGGACAACAUUGGGAAACGAGUGCUAAUACCGCAUAACAACUUUAAACAUAAGGUUUAAUGGUGAAAGACGCAAUUGCGUCACUCAAUGAUGAUCUCUCGGCGUAUUAGCUAGGUGGUGAGGUAAAGGGUCACCAAGGCGAAGAUACCUAGACGCCCUGAGAGGGGGGUCGGCCGGAUUGGGACUGGGACACGGCCCAAACUCCUACGGGAGGGAGCAGUAGGGAAUCUUCGGGCAGGGGCGGAAGUCUGACCGAGCAACGCCGCGGGAGGGAAGAAGGUUGUCGGGUGGGAAAACUCGGUUGGUAGGGAAGAACGUUGGUGAGAGUGGAAAGCACAGCAAGUGACGGUAACUACCCAGAAAGCGACGGCUAACUACGUG
rnacentral:rRNA from 1 species